UACGUAGGGCGCAAGCGUUGUCCGGAUUUAUUGGGCGUAAAGAGCUCGUAGGCGGUCUGUCGCGUCUGCCGUGAAAGUCCGGGGCUCAACUCCGGAUCUGCGGUGGGUACGGGCAGACUAGAGUGAUGUAGGGGAGACUGGAAUUCCUGGUGGUAGCGGUGAAAUGCGCAGAUAUCAGGAGGAACACCGAUGGCGAAGGCAGGUCUCUGGGCAUUAACUGACGCUGAGGAGCGAAGCAUGGGAGCGAACAG
rnacentral:rRNA from 1 species